GUUGUUGAUGUUAUACGAGUACUUCUUUGAUUUUUCAAUUCGUGUUUGGUUGCUAUUGAGAUACCUAAAGAUGUCGGUGAUCGGAUUUUCAGGAUUAUUGUUUCUUCUCAUGGUCGCGAUAUGUCUCUUUGCCAUAGUCGUUCCAGGUGUUGUUGCACCUGAUACUCCUACGAGUUUAACUGUUCUCGAAUGGCUAAAACCACCGGAUAAAUAGACCGACGACUAAUGAUUCAAGUGGAAUACGCAUCACAUUUCAAUUUACAGUUAUCCCAGCUUAUCUUAAAAUAAUUUAGUUAUUAGUUUAUUAUUAGUUUAUAUGUACCUACAUAUUUUGUAAGUCAAUAGUGGUUACAAUACAGGAUUUCUCAAGCAA